UGGGGAAUAUUGCGCAAUGGGGGCAACCCUGACGCAGCCAUGCCGCGUGAGUGAUGAAGGCCUUCGGGUUGUAAAGCUCUUUCAGGUGCGACGAUGAUGACGGUAACACCAGAAGAAGCCCCGGCUAACUUCGUGCCAGCAGCCGCGGUAAUACGAAGGGGGCAAGCGUUGUUCGGAAUCACUGGGCGUAAAGCGCGCGUAGGCGGUCUCGCCAGUCAGAGGUGAAAGCCCAGGGCUCAACCCUGGAACUGCCUUUGAUACUGCGAGACUAGAGUCCGUGAGAGGGUGGUGGAAUUCCCAGUGUAGAGGUGAAAUUCGUAGAUAUUGGGAGGAACACCAGUGGCGAAGGCGGCCACCUGGCACGGUACUGACGCUGAGGUGCGAAAGCGUGGGGAGCAAACAGGAUUAGAUACCCCCGUAGUCC
rnacentral:rRNA from 1 species